AGCUCCAAUAGCGCAUAUUAAAGUUGUUGCAGUUAAAAAGCUCGUAGUUGGAUUUGUGGCGCACGGUGGGUUCCGGGCACUUGUUGUCUGAGUGACUUGCCGUUGCCAUCCUUGGGUGGAACCUGUGUGGCAUUAGGUUGUCGUGCAGGGGAUGCCCAUCAUUUACUGUGAAAAAAUUAGAGUGUUCAAAGCAGGCUUAUGCCGUUGAAUAUAUUAGCAUGGAAUAAUAAGAUAGGACUUGUUUGCUAUUUUGUUGGUUUGCGCAAAUAGGUAAUGAUUAAUAGGGACAGUUGGGGGUAUUCGUAUUCCAUUGUCAGAGGUGAAAUUCUUGGAUUUUUGGAAGACGAACUACUGCGAAAGCAUUUACCAAGGAUGUUUUCAUUAAUCAAGAACGAAAGUA
rnacentral:rRNA from 1 species